rnacentral:rRNA from 1 species
GAUGGACGCUGACAGAAUGCUUAACACAUGCAAGUCGAUUCGAUUUACCUUCGGGUAUUGAGGAUGGCGGACGGGUGAGUAACGCGUAAGGAACUUGCCUCUUGGUCUGGGACAACUGUUGGAAACGACAGCUAAUACCGGAUAUUAUGAGAUUCUCGCAUGGGAAACUUAUGAAAGCUAUAUGCGCCAAGAGAGAGCCUUGCGUUCCAUUAGCUAGUUGGUGGGGUAACGGCCCACCAAGGCGACGAUGGAUAGCCGGCCUGAGAGGGUGAACGGCCACAAGGGGACUGAGACACGGCCCUUACUCCUACGGGAGGCAGCAGUGGGGAAUAUUGGACAAUGGGCCACAAGCCUGAUCCAGCAAUUCUGUGUGCACGAUGAAGGUCUUCGGAUUGUAAAGUGCUUUCAGUUGGGAAGAAGAAAGUGACGGUACCAACAGAAGAAGCGACGGCUAAAUACGUGCCAGCAGCCGCGGUAAUACGUAUGUCGCAAGCGUUAUCCGGAUUUAUUGGGCGUAAAGCGCGUCUAGGCGGAAAAAUAAGUCUGAUGUUAAAAUGCGGGGCUCAACUCCGUAUUGCGUUGGAAACUGUUUUUCUAGAGUACUGGAGAGGUGGGCGGAACUACAAGUGUAGAGGUGAAAUUCGUAGAUAUUUGUAGGAAUGCCGAUGGAGAAGUCAGCUCACUGGACAGAUACUGACGCUAAAGCGCGAAAGCNUGGGGAGCAAACAGGAUUAGAUACCCUGGUAGUCCACGCCGUAAACGAUGAUCACUA